UGUACAGACUGCUGCCACUCCGGCUGGCUAGGUCGCUCUGAACUGUCAGGUGGGACCAGAAAAUGCCCAACUGCAGCUAUGUAUAAUUGUAUUUGAUGCAGAGUCUCACUAUAUAUCCCUGGCUUUCCUGGAACUCACUAUUUAGACCAGAUUGCUGUCAAAACCACAGACAUCCACCAGUCUAUGUUCCUGUGAGCUGGAAUUCAAGCCAGCUGGACCCAGCCCAGAAGCUUCGUGACCCAAGAGGGCUCUAGGAUAAUGCUGCACUGCAGGUCUCCCCACUGCAAUCCAUGGAACUGCUUCGACCCACUUUUCAAGGAAUCCUAUACUCUUGCAUCUUGGAAACAGUGAGUUAAACUUUCCCUGUCUGCUGUCUCCCCUGCCACCCUUUGCACUCAGUCCCUGCCCUCCACCCCACAGCCACUUUCAGCCACAGGCUCUCAUUUAGAUCUAGCUGAGUGUGCACGCCUGCAGCCUGGAGGCAAAAGCUAUGUGGCUGUGCCCAAUUUUGUCGUGCCUCACGAAACCAGGACAGUUUUCUUAUUUUCCCUGGGGCCUCCAAAGCCAAAGGAGCACUAACACCCACCCUCCUGCAGCCUUUCUCGACAGAGAAAGUUCACUGCUCCUCCAAGCCCACAGAGCUCCCAGUCCCGAAGCUGUGCUACAGAUGUGCUGCCCACUGUGCCCACUCAGCAGAGAGCCCAUAUCCAGCUCCAUCUGCCAAGCUUGGUCUCCACCCGGUACUAUUCGAAGGUUUUUUCCCAUACCUAGUAAACACACCCCCAAUCCAUUCUUAACAUGCUCUGUAAGGGUUUUUCAGGAAAUUUCAGGUCCAACUCAAAACAACCACAACUGAACACCUUCGCCACCUGCUGGUCAAAAGAGAUUACUGCAUCUGGAGUGGCAGCAGCCUGAUUCAUCUAGCUGAAAACCUCCUGCUAGAUGAAGUAGAAGCUGACUGGUAAAUAUGGCUGAAUAUUUGUUGUUUACCUCAAUUGGUAACAUUUUUGCUUUUUAUGUAAAUUCAAUGUUUGAAGAAGGUGCUAAUCUGCCAAUAAUUGACCCGUAUGCCUUACUAGCUAUUAGGGUGCUAAUGCACUCAUUAUCACUAGCCAGAGGCUAAGGAACAGGGAGGGAUAAAGUUAAUUUCACCACCUGCCUACAGUUCAGACAAGCUUUACGUAAUGAGGUUUUGGAGACCAGACUGACCCAUGAUACGUUUAUUCAGCAUGUAGAACUGAUGCUGGAUGACAGGCUUUGCUCAAUGUCUUAUACGAUACAGGCAGAGCUGUCUGCUAACCAAGUUGAAAUGCAGCAAAUUUAUGAUAAGAUGAACACAGAGAGGUCAGAGGACCAUGAUGAACUAAAUAAUAUAUGUAGCCAACUGAAAACUCAGAUAAGCUCUCUGUCAUGUAAUCUGGAUACUAAGGUGCAAGACACACAGGAUAGGGUUAAACAAUUGGAUAAUGCCAUUAACCAAUGGCUGAAAAUUUCAAGAUGGUAGAUAAUAGAGUUGAAUCUAGAUUUGAAUGUUUGGAAGAUGACCUACAGAAUAGAGAUGGCAGAUUAGAGAGGUCCAUCAUGUCAAUUGCUGAGGCAAAUUACAAACUGGAGUCUAAACUUCAAUUCCUAGAUAGCAGUUUUCAUGCCACCCAGAUGCUAGCUAGAGAUGAACGUAUUAAACACCUAGAAAACUGUGUGGAAGAGCAGUUAUAGCAAUUUACAGAUUCAUUGUCAUGCCUAGAAUCUUUUAUGAUUAAGGAAAUUGAAACUUUUCAUGAGGAUAUCAUUACUAGAAUCAAGGAUUGUUGGGAUGACACAGAGACAGAAUCACUCCAAUCUGAGGCACCUACUCCACCCAGGUAUCUUGAUCAUUCUAAAGUUGUUACUCAUACACCAUUGGUCUACUCAGCAACAAUGGUAGAAAAGCCACCUACUAAAAAACACCCCCAGGGACAGGUGGCUUAUAUAUGGCAACCUAUAGAGCUGAACGAUCUUAAGCAUAUUAAAGAAUCAGUUGUCUCAUAUGGUCUUCAUAGCCCAUACAUAAAACAGCUAUUACAUUCAUUGGCAACCUUUAACAGGGUGACACCCACAGAUUAGGUAGGAUUGGUAUCAGCUGUACUGAGAAUUCUUGUCAAAUCCAGUGGAAAGCAUUGGUAAGGGAAAAAGAAGUUUCUUGAGUGUCAAGGUACAAGAGACGGUUAUAAAGCUUCCCUGGAUAAGAUUCUUGGUGAGGGUAUUUAUGCUGACCCACAGGUUCAGGCUGAAGAUGAUGACCAUAUGCUGUCCCUAUGCAGGAAAGCAGCACUAAAGGCCUGGGAUAAGGUUCAUGAGCUAGGGGAAUGACUGGGAGUUUAUACCAGAAUAGAACAGGGACCAACAGAAUUAUUCCAGGACUUCUUAGAAAGGUUAACCAGGGCAGUAGAAUUACAAAGUAACAGAUCUGACAGUAAGACAUUCGAUUUUAUAUACAAUAGCUUAUGACAAUGCAAACCCAAUAUGUAAAAGAAUACUUUGUUACGAUAAAUGUUUCUGCCAAAAGCCGCUGAGCCCCACCACCAUGUGUGUGCAUUAUGCCAGGCGCCCGCCCGAAUUAGGCCCAAAUAAAUACACAGAAACUUGUAUUAGAUAAAAUGCUGCUUGGCCAAUGACUAGGAUUCUCAUCUGUUAGCUCAGUCUUAAUUAUCAUAAAUCUAUAUUUUUUUAUAAGACUUAUCUUAUCGGAUGCCUUGUUGGUGUCCCUCCUGGCUGGUGGAUCACGUCAUGCUGCUGCAGCAGGAGCAGAGGGGAAAAGAGGGCCCUUCCUGAUUCUCCUUUGCUUAAAUAUGAGUCUCCUUGCUAUGUCACUUCCUGCCUGGAUCAGCACUUCUCUACUAAAUUUUCCAGAAUCCUCUUUGACUCCUAGUCCUGUCUACUUGCUGACUCAUUGGCCAAACAGUAUUUUAUUUAACCAUCAAUAAGAUAAACAUACACAGUACAUUCCCCAUCAAUACUUUUGCCUUUAAAGAUCAGAUCAGCUCUGCUAGAAGAAUGGAUUUUGCAUAUGGCCCACAUUGACAAUAGUGUGCACGAUGCUGAAGUCUGGGCAGGAGAAGCUAUCCCAAGAGGUUUCAAAAGGCAGCAGGAGAUUAGGAGUUCCAGAGAUGAUGACAGAAGGGCUUAGGAAGGAUAAACAUCUUACAGGGAUCCACAUAGAUACCAAGUGGGCAGGGUUUAUCACUACUAUGAACCAGAACCUCGGGUAGGAAGAGACCUCUCCAGGAUACCACAAAGACGUCAGGGACCUAGAUGUUUCAGCUGUGGUAUAAUGGGACAUGUAAAGAGAAAUUGUAGGCAAAGAAAUUCUGACAAUCCCUCAUGCGAAAGACCACUGCCUUCCAGAUUGUGUAGGAGAUGUGGUAAGAGCAGACACUGGACUAAUGAGUGUAUAUCGACAAGGGACAUACAAGGGAACCUGUUAUGGCCAGGAAACUCUGAUGGGGGCCUCAAGAAGGCCACCACAUCGAAAAAGGUUCCAUCGUUUCCAAAAGCAGGGGAAGACAAUGACUCACAGGACGAAUAGAUAGUGCUAUGUCUAUUGUGAAAGAUAACACUGUUAUAGAUGGUAGUUUGACUAGCGUUGAAUAAUCAUAUAAGACUGGACAAGAUGAAAAGCACAUAUUUUGGCAGACCUCCAUCAAAGAAAAAAGGCAUCAUUUAAAAGUAAAAAUCAAUAAUAAGAUUAUUAAUGGCAUUGCAGACACUGGCGCUGAUGUCACUAUUAUUGCACAAAAAUCCUGGGCACAGAAGUGGCCACUUAGGAAAGCAAAUUUAUAAUUUUUGGGAAUUGGAAUUAUAGCUAGAGUUCAACAGAAUGUUCACUCGGUGGUCUGCAUUGGACCGGAAGGACAGAAAGGGAGAAUAAAACCAUAUGUGGCAAAUAUAGCUAUAAAUCUCUGGGGUCGUGAUCUCUCACAGCAAUGGAAAACCCAGAUUAAUAUCCCUCCAGUGUCAGAUACAAAUUAUGCAUAAUCUCUGUAUAGUAGAAGAGACCUGGUAAGAUGCUAUGGGAACCAUCCAGGUAACAGUUACCAACCAUCCAGCCUGUACAGAAACUAAAUACAAACGAUAGACCUUCAGAAGAGCCAAAGACCCUACCAUUAAAAUGAGUUAUAGAUGAACCUCUUUGGAUAGGAUAGUGGCCUUUGACCUCUGAGAAGCGAGAGGUUCUAGAAAAAUUAGUACAGGAACAGCUAGAGGCUGAACACAUAGAGGAGUCUACCAACACUUGGAAUUCUCCCGUAUUUGUUAUCAAAAAGAAGUCAGGUAACUGGAGAAUGCUGACAGAACUGAGAGCCAUAAAUAAGGUAAUUCAUCCCAUGGGCUCUCUACAGCCUGGAAUGACAUUGUCUUCCUUAAUAACCAAAGGAUGGCCAAUCAUAGGAAUUGGCCUGAAAGUGUAUAUUUUCACUAUACCAUUACAAGAAAGUGAUAGAUAAAAAUUUGCAUUUACAGUACCAACUCUUAAUAACUCACAGCCAGUUCAAAGAUAUCAGUGGAAGGUUUUGCCACAAGUGAUGCUGAAUAGUCCUACUUUAUGUCAACACUUCUUACAAAAACCUUUAGAAAUAAUUCGUAAGAAAUUUUCAUAAUCCCUUUUUUAUCAUUACAUGAAUGAUAUUCUUUUAUCAGAUUCCAAUGAGGAAACUUUGGAACAUAUAUUUGACACGGUGAAGGAAGUUCUGCGUAGAUGGCGGUUACAGAUUGACCUGGAAAAGAUAAAAAGAGGAGAUUCUAUUAACUGUUUAUGUUAUAAGAUAGAUUUACAAAGAAUCAUGCCACAGAAGGUACGAAUUAGAAGGGAUCUUUAGUCUUUAGACUAAAGUCUUUAGAAGCUGCUAGAGGAAAUUUCUCAAUUACAGACAAUUAUUGGGGUAGAAGGACAUUACUUAAAGCAUUUAAAAAUGGCCCUUAAAGGUAAUAAGGACCUAAACAGUCUGAGAACAUUAUCCACUGAGGCAGAAAAAGAAUUACAAUGGGUAGAAAACAGAAUUUUGGAUGCGCAUGUAGAUUGGAUAAAACUUGAUUUAGACUAUAAAUCUGGUUAUCUGGCCAUUCAAAGAAUAUCCUUCCGAAAUUCUGAUGCAGAGGGAAGACACCAUAUUGGAGUGGUAUUUCUGCCACAUAAACAGAAUAAAAAGCUAAAGACAUAUAUAGAAAAGAUUUCUGAUUUGAAUCUAAAGGGCAAAUUAAGACUUCCUCAAGUGACUGGAAAAGAUCCAGCAGAAAUUAUAGUAUCUUUAACUAAUGACAAAAUUUCCUCCUUAUGGAAGGAUAAUGAAUAUUGGCAAAUAUUACUGUCUUUUGGGGAAGGAUUCGAAGCAACUAUCCCUAAACUGACAAAAUUAAAUUCAUAAAAAAAGACAAUCUGUAUUCUUCCAAUUAAUGUAAAGCAAACUCCCAUUUAUAGAAUUCUUACCUUCUACACUGAUGCCAACAAAUCAGGUAAGGCAGGUUAUAAAGCAGGUGAGGUAAGCAAAGUAGUUCAAAGUCCAUAUACAUCUGUACAGUAGGCAGAAUUAUAUGCAAUACUCAAGUGCUUAUGGAUUUUACAUAACCUCUUAAUGUAGUUACCGACUCCCAUCUUGCAGAGAGAGAGCCAUCUUACCCGUUGAGACUGCAGAAUUUGUUUCUGAUAAUACAGAAUUAACCUCAUUUUUUUUCUACAAAUAUAGGAAAAAAAUCAGAAACAGAAGUAAUCCUCUAUACAUUACACAUAUCAGAUCAUAUACAGGUCUGCCAGGCCCACUGGCACAAGGCAAUGAUGAGAUUGAUCAUUUAUUAAUUGGAAGUGUGCUGGAAGCCUUGGAAUUUCAUAAGAAAUAUAAGUGAAUAGCAAAGGUUUAAAAAGGGACUUCUCCAUCACUUGGCAACAAGCCAAAGAGAUAGAGAGAAACUGUCCCAUUUGUUCCUUUUAUAACCAAACUCCACUGCCAGAAGGCUAUAAUCCUAAAGGCAUUCAGAGGAAUGAGGUCCGACAGGUAGAUGUCUUUCACUUUACAGAAUUUGGAAAUUUGAAAUAUAUGCAUCAUACUAAAGACACAUUCUCAGGAUUCCAAUGGUCUAGUUCUCUCAACUCUGAAAAAGCUGAUUCUGUUAUUACACACUUGCUAGAGGUGAUGACAGUUAUGGGUAUACCUGCACAAAUAAAAACUGACAAUGCUCCAGCAUAUGUCUCCCCAAAAAUGUAACAGUUUUUCAAAUAUUAUAACAUAAAGCAUGUCACCGGUAUACCACACAAUCCUACAGGACAAGCAGUGGUUGAGCGAUCUAAUAGAACACUUAAGAAGAUGCUCCAUAGACAGGCUGGGAAGACAAAAUCCCCAGACAUAGGCUGUAUAAUGCUUUAUUGACACUAAACUUCCUUAAUGCCAAAUAGGACAAACAGCUCUGGAAAGACACUGAACUACAGAAAUAACUGCUUAACUGAAUCGGCCAGUAUACUUCAAAGAUGCACUAACCUUGGUAUGGAAGCCUGGACAUGUGUCAUGUUGGGGUAGGGAUUUUGCAUUGGUUUCCAAAGGAGAAGAAAAACUGUGGAUACCAUCAAAGUUGAUCAAGAUUCAAGUUGAAAAAAAAAAAAAAAACAAAAAACAAACCUCUUGACAGGAGAAAUGACAGGUAUUUUACUGAGGUAUAUCUCAUAAACUAAAUAGAAACCUCCCAAAAGAAAGGGAAGUGUUUUGCUUCUAUCUUCACAGGAAAACUCAUAUCCAGAAGUCCAAGAACACUACAUAGGUAGAUGCUUAAGAAGAGAAGGCAGCUAUAACCAUCAAACAAAAGGAAUGUGCCAUAUGGUAAACUUUAAAGCUGUCUCUCAAAUAAAUCUAUUUCUCUUUAUUUUUCCAGUCCCUAUUCAAGUAAAUCAAUGCUAGAUUUCAAGUUAGAUUUGCCUUUCCUUCUCUAAAAUUGAAGUACGUUGUUUAACUAAACUUUAUAGAGUUUCUGUAUUGUAUCAAGAAGCGAAUUGAUGUAAUACAGAAUGAGAGAAGAAUUUGGGGACUUGUUUUGUCUUUCUUGGCUCUUUUUUUCAAGGUGUACACAGUCUCAUAAUCAUUAUUUUUUCCAUGGUUGCCUUUUUCAGCAUGCAUAUAUGUAUAAGCAAACAUUUCUCUGCUAACACUUAUGUUUGAGUCCCACACAGCCAAUGAACACCCGCCUGACAGCAAUCCCUGAUUGCUCCAGAAAGAACUUGGGCUAUACCUCCUAGACUGCACUGGAUCCAACUUACUCCAUUUCAACUGACACUCUGACCAGAGCUUCAGGUACUGACUUCAAUCAAGUUGAAGAUUUCAACCUUCAUCUUCAAUCAAGCAAAUCCCAUCUAACAUGGACUGGAUACAAGCCAUUAGAGACUUUCACUAUACUAACAUUUUCUUCCCACAGUACCCCACGAGGCUACCAUCAUCCCUUUUCAGCAGGAAAUAACUUGGAAGAUGCUACGCCCCCAACCCCCAUUAUUGUCUAUUAGGGUAGUGUAAACCUAGUUAGGGAUAGAUUACUAUUGUUUAUGGUUGGGAUUGGAAGGAUGUGUUCAGGCUUGGACACCUCUUUUCAGAGGACCUUAGCAUUUAGCAGAUGAAGACAUAGUUAGGAUUCGUCAUAUCAGAUUAUUGUAUCUUCUUGUAUUUCACCUUUAUGAUUGUUAAUUUUGGAUAUUUUACACUGUUAAGCUUUAAUCCUCUUUUAGACUAAAAGGGGAAUUGUAGGGCACAGUUUAAGCACACCUGCUAGAAGCUGACUACAGGUGUGCCUGACCAUGCCUGUCAGGGAAUGGUCAAGGUGAGGGCAGGAUGAUUCAUGAUAGAGCUUCUCAGGGGCUGCUAGGCACACGGGAACCCUUUCUCUCUUGCCUUUCUGCCUUGCUGCCCCUGGGACGCUCUGGCUUGUGUUUGACUGGUGUUUUUCUAAUAAAGAAUAUCUUUAUCCCUAGCUCCUUAUAGUAAGCUCCUUUUAUUUCUCAAUACUGUGUGAUAGAGACAUUGGAAGAUUAGAGUCCAGGAAAAAGAAAACAGAUAUUCUCUAAUAUUAAACUUCGAUUUUCUUGUGUCUGUUAUUUUUCCUUUUGGCAUUUA
ensembl:lncRNA